rnacentral:rRNA from 1 species
AGGGUGAGUCGACCCCUAAGGCGAGGCCGAAAGGCGUAGUCGAUGGGAAACAGGUUAAUAUUCCUGUACUUGGUGUUACUGCGAAGGGGGGACGGAGAAGGCUAUGUUGGCCGGGCGACGGUUGUCCCGGUUUAAGCGUGUAGGCUGGUUUUCCAGGCAAAUCCGGAAAAUCAAGGCUGAGGCGUGAUGACGAGGCACUACGGUGCUGAAGCAACAAAUGCCCUGCUUCCAGGAAAAGCCUCUAAGCAUCAGGUAACAUCAAAUCGUACCCCAAACCGACACAGGUGGUCAGGUAGAGAAUACCAAGGCGCUUGAGAGAACUCGGGUGAAGGAACUAGGCAAAAUGGUGCCGUAACUUCGGGAGAA